GUUAAUGUAGCUUAAAAUUAAAGCA
rnacentral:tRNA from 1 species